UACGAAGGGGGCUAGCGUUGCUCGGAAUCACUGGGCGUAAAGCGCACGUAGGCGGGUCGUUAAAGUCAGGGGUGAAAUCCUGGAGCUCAACUCCAGAACUGCCCUUGAUACUGGCGAUCUCGAGUUCGGGAGAGGUGAGUGGAACUGCGAGUGUAGAGGUGAAAUUCGUAGAUAUUCGCAAGAACACCAGUGGCGAAGGCGGCUCACUGGCCCGAUACUGACGCUGAGGUGCGAAAGCGUGGGGAGCCAAACAGGG
rnacentral:rRNA from 1 species